rnacentral:rRNA from 1 species
GACGAACGCUGGCGGCGUGCUUAACACAUGCAAGUCGAACGGAAAGGCCCUUCUUUUGUGGGGUGCUCGAGUGGCGAACGGGUGAGUAACACGUGAGUAACCUGCCCUUGACUUUGGGAUAACUUCAUGAAACUGGGGCUAAUACCGGAUAGGAGCUCCUGCUGCAUGGUGGGGGUUGGAAAGUUUCGGCGGUUGGGGAUGGACUCGCGGCUUAUCAGCUUGUUGGUGGGGUAGUGGCUUACCAAGGCUUUGACGGGUAGCCGGCCUGAGAGGGUGACCGGCCACAUUGGGACUGAGAUACGGCCCAGACUCCUACGGGAGGCAGCAGUGGGGAAUAUUGCACAAUGGGCGGAAGCCUGAUGCAGCAACGCCGCGUGAGGGAUGACGGCCUUCGGGUUGUAAACCGCUUUCGCCUGUGACGAAGCGUGAGUGACGGUAAUGGGUAAAGAAGCACCGGCUAACUACGUG